rnacentral:rRNA from 1 species
UGGGGAAUAUUGCACAAUGGGGGAAACCCUGAUGCAGCGACGCCGCGUGAGCGAUGAAGCCCUUCGGGGUGUAAAGCUCUUUCGUCGGGGACGAUUAUGACGGUACCCGGAGAAGCAGCUGCGGCUAACUACGUGCCAGCAGCCGCGGUAAUACGUAGGCAGCAAGCGUUGUUCGGAAUUACUGGGCGUAAAGGGUGCGUAGGCGGCUUUUUAAGUUUGUUGUGAAAUCUCCCGGCUCAACUGGGAGGGUGCGGCGAAUACUGAGAAGCUAGAGUGUGGGAGAGGAAAGUGGAAUUCCUGGUGUAGCGGUGAAAUGCGUAGAUAUCAGGAGGAACACCGGUGGUGUAAACGGCUUUCUGGACCAUAACUGACGCUGAGGCACGAAAGCGUGGGUAGCAAACAG